rnacentral:rRNA from 1 species
UACAGAGGGUGCUAGCGUUGUUCGGAAUCAUUGGGCGUAAAGGGCGUGUAGGCGGUUUGUUAAGUCAUGUGUGAAAUCCCUCGGCUUAACCGGGGAACUGCGUCCGAUACUGGAUGGCUUGAGUUUGGGAGAGGGAUGCGGAAUUCCAGGUGUAGCGGUGAAAUGCGUAGAUAUCUGGAGGAACACCGGUGGCGAAGGCGGCAUCCUGGACCAACACUGACGCUGAGGAGCGAAAGCCAGGGGAGCAAACGGG